UAACACGUGAGUAAUUUACCUAUAAGACGGGGAUAACUAGGCGAAAGUUUGGCUAAUACCCGAUAAGUUUACUAGGGACAUCUUUAGUAAAUAAAUGUUGGAGUAAUCUAACGCUUAUGGAUGAGCUCGCGUCCCAUUAGCUAGUUGGAGGUGUAAUGGACCCCCAAGGCGACGAUGGGUAGCCGACCUGAGAGGGUGGUCGGCCACACUGGGACUGAGACACGGCCCAGACUCCUACGGGAGGCAGCAGUGGGGAAUUUUGCACAAUGGACGCAAGUCUGAUGCAGCGACGCCGCGUGAAUGAAGAAGGCCUUCGGGUCGUAAAGUUCUUUCGACAGGGAAGAAUGGUUAUAUCAGUAACUGGGUAUAAUUUGACGGUACCUGUAUAAGCAGCCCCGGCUAACUCCGUGCCAGCAGCCGCGGUAAUACGGAGGGGGCAAGCGUUGUUCGGAGUGACUGGGCGUAAAGAGCACGUAGGCGGUGAUGUAAGUCAUUAGUCAAAGGCGACAGCUCAACUGUCGUAAGGCUAGUGAUACUAUGUUACUAGAGUGCCGGAGAGGAUUGCAGAAUUCCUAGUGUAGCGGUGAAAUGCGUAGAUAUUAGGAGGAAUACCUGUUGCGAAGGCGGCAAUCUGGUCGGUAACUGACGCUGAGGUGCGAAAGCGUGGGUAGCAAACAGGAUUAGAUACCCUGGUAGUCCACGCUGUAAACGAUGGAUACUAGAUGUUUGGGUGUAUGAGCCUAAGUGUCGAAGCUAACGCAUUAAGUAUCCCGCCUGGGGAGUACGUUCGCAAGAAUGAAACUCAAAGGAAUUGACGGGGGCCCGCACAAGCGGUGGAGCAC
rnacentral:rRNA from 1 species